AACGAACGCUGGCGGCAUGCCUAACACAUGCAAGUCGAACGAGACCUUCGGGUCUAGUGGCGCACGGGUUCGUAACGCGUGGGAACCUGCCCUUAGGUUCGGAAUAACUCCCCGAAAGGGGUGCUAAUACCGGAUAAUGUCUUCGGACCAAAGAUUUAUCGCCUUUGGAUGGGCCCGCGUUGGAUUAGCUAGUUGGUAGGGUAAAAGCCUACCAAGGCGACGAUCCAUAGCUGGUCUGAGAGGAUGAUCAGCCACACUGGGACUGAGACACGGCCCAGACUCCUACGGGAGGCAGCAGUGGGGAAUAUUGGACAAUGGGCGAAAGGCUGAUCCAGCAAUGCCGCGUGAGUGAUGAAGGCCUUAGGGUUGUAAAGCUCUUUUAACCGGGAUGAUAAUGACAGUACCGGGAGAAUAAGCCACGGCUAACUCCGUG
rnacentral:rRNA from 1 species